AUAUGAUGGAGAAAGUUACGAGUAUUAAGGCUUAUUGUGUUCUGCUGUGCAAAUGGAAACCCAGCAGCUGGUCUUUUCAAGGUUUAGUUUAUGCUGUUAAACUGCAGUGUGUGUUGACAGACGGUAUGGAGGUGGAGGCAGCGGCGAUGGAGGCGGGGCAGUUUGAGGAUGCAGACGUGGAGCACUGAUCUCAUCUCAGCGGACAUUCAAAGCUCCAGUGUUGCAUCAUGGGAUUGGAGAGGCGGACAGCAGCACUUACUCACUCUCUUGUUUAACAGAACUUCUCCUUCCUACUCAGUCAUCUCACUAAUCUUUGUAGCAUCCUUUAUUUCCUCCCAUGCGUUUUGAUGCAUUGCUUAGUAGCUCACGCGUCAUGUGUUGUGUUUGUUCUCCGCAUCACAUUUACUAAUUUGUUCAAGUCGUAUGAGUUUAUCUUUGUUAUACGACCAAGGCAUCUACUGAGAUGCAGACCCAAACGCCCAAAUCAUGCUGUAAAAAAAGAUGAAAAAAAACCCAAUGCUCUGUUUUGUAUAACAAUUUAAUUUCAGAUUUUUUGAAAAAAAAGUUAUUGUCUUUAUACAAAAUUGUGAAUAAAUGCAUAGUUUUUCUAUGA